rnacentral:rRNA from 1 species
UACAGAGGGGGCAAGCGUUGUUCGGAAUUACUGGGCGUAAAGCGUGCGCAGGCGGUUUGCUAAGACAGGUGUGAAAUCCCCGGGCUUAACCUGGGAACUGCGCUUGUUACUGGCAGGCUUGAGUGUGGCAGAGGGGGGUGGAAUUCCACGUGUAGCAGUGAAAUGCGUAGAGAUGUGGAGGAACACCGAUGGCGAAGGCAGCCCCCUGGGCUAACACUGACGCUCAUGCACGAAAGCGUGGGGAGCAAACAGG